GGCCCGGCUGAGCGGUCCGCCUUUUGGUGAGAACUGUUUGGCUGGGCCUUUCCUUGUGGGGAACUAGUCUGCCCCUUUACGGGGGUGGGAUAGGGAUCCACAACUUUUACUUUGAAAAAAUUAGAGUGUUCAAAGCAGGCUCGCGCUUGAAUACAUUAGCAUGGAAUAAUAGAAUAGGAC
rnacentral:rRNA from 1 species